AAUUAUGAAACACAGGAAAAGAAAGAAAAUCCAACAAUGUUAGGAUCCACGUGAAUUUUAAUGAUUUAUUAGCAUAUGCACAAAGCUGGAAUGUUAAAUAUGGCAAAUUGAUUGAUUUGAGGCAAACUUCCAAGGGAGAAAAAAUAUUACUUUCUCUUUCUCCUUCAGUUAACAUCUGCUAAAGAGUGGAGAUUCCAGAGAAAAAGUAAGAGAGGUUGAGUCUGCGCCAGGGACAUGAAGGAAAUAAGCUGCCUGGGAACCAAGAACAGAGGAUGGAAGGGUGGCUGCAACAUGCAGCAAAGAUGAUGUCCUCAACCAUGUACCCAGCAAUGACGGCACCAUUAUCUCCUUCAGUUUGAUGCCCUUUCUAAAUGCAACCUUUCAUUUGGUGACAUUUCCAGAGUGGAGUGUAGGGAACUUGUUCAUGUGAUACUCAUUAAAGUCACACGGCUAACAUUUCUGCCCACUUCAUUUGUGAGAACCAGAUAGAGAAAAACACUUUGCCUGCUUUCAGAAGAGACAUAAAACAGAGAUCUGGACCACUUGUGGGUAUUGAAGCACUCCUUUGGUCUCAUGCUAGGAGUAGUUUAUUGGCUGCAGUGUCCUGACAAAUAGAAUAUUGCCUAAACUAUGCUCAUAAAGAAUUUUUCUUUGUAUUCAUAGUUUUGAAUCCAAAACUAUCAUCCCAUAUACUGAGUGAUAACCUAGGUGAG
rnacentral:lncRNA from 1 species